rnacentral:rRNA from 1 species
AACGAACGCUGGCGGCAGGCCUAACACAUGCAAGUCGAACGCCCGUAGCAAUACGGGAGUGGCAGACGGGUGAGUAACGCGUGGGAACGUGCCCUUCGGUUCGGAAUAACUCAGGGAAACUUGAGCUAAUACCGGAUACGUCCGUAAGGAGAAAGAUUUAUCGCCGAAGGAUCGGCCCGCGUCGGAUUAGCUAGUUGGUGAGGUAACGGCCCACCAAGGCGACGAUCCGUAGCUGGUCUGAGAGGAUGAUCAGCCACACUGGGACUGAGACACGGCCCAGACUCCUACGGGAGGCAGCAGUGGGGAA